UCGGGUAACAAAACACAAAUGAUCCGAGCACAGUCACACAAUACAUUGUACAAGCAGUCGAGGUUUUAAUACAAGCUUAUCGUACCUACUGUAUCGUGAUUCAUGAACCGCGUAUAGCUACAUAUUUCAAUCGUGUCAAUCACUUUCCUUUACUCUAUUCACUUUAUUUACUAAUCCAGAUACCUACUGAUAUUUACUUUAUUCUGGAGAUAAAAGGAAAUACCUUAUCCAUUAAAAAAUACAAGAUUAUGUACCUACCUACUAAUAAGUAAAUUUAUUUUAAAGUUAACCUUUCAGAGUUUCCAGGUAACUUAAAAAAAGUUAUCUCUGGAUGGGAUAAUUUUGAAUUCAUGCAUCCAAAAACGGCACAGUAUUUCCUACUGGUCAUAAUUAAAAAAAUCUAAUACUAUUAAUACACUUUACUCUGUUAAUACACCGUGCGUUCGUUCGUCACCGCGGCACAGUCGCGACCAGGCCCGGUCAACUCUCGAACAAGGUUUGGUUAUACCUACGGGGGCUAGACCUGUGGUGUCAUCAUCCAUACGGUUCUACCGUCUGGUAGUUGUAGCAAUAUUAUUAUCGUUAGUAGCACACGCCUGACAUAAUAUUUUGAUAAAUCUAAUACAUUUUUAGAUUUAAAUAUGACUUUAAUAACUGAAUAAAUACUUUUCUUCUACAAAAAUAUAGAGAGACACUCUCGUUGAAUAUUGUUUUAGUAACGUAUGGGUAAGAUUUUCUAAACGAAGUGUGGCAACCCCAAUUACUUAAUAAAAAAUAAAUAUGUUAUAAAAUGAAAAUGGCGUCAUUUCACCAAAUAAAACACGAAUUCACGAAUAAUAAAAUAAAUGUUUGCCACGGCCUGUUAAUAUUUAUGAAGACCUCUUCAUGGAUUGGAUUUAAGCAACCUGCUGUGUAAUAUCCUCGCCAUUCUUGAUGUUGAGAAGAUCUAUAAGUCUUUUGCGUUUCAUCUGAGUGUUGUGGUUUUUCAUUAUGUUAAAAAUAAGACUUUGUUAGUUCAAGUGUCUCUAUAACUAUGAAGAAGAACAAAAGAAAAUGCUUUAAGUGUGGUUCUUCGCCUGCCGAUGAUCCAGAGAAGACCCUACAGAGAUUACAGAAAUUUGAUUCUACAAAUUUAGUCUCCGGUAGCUUAAUCUGGGGCAACAUAAGGUUAAUUAUGAAAUGGUAAUGAAAAUAAACAUCUGAGAAAAGCAAAUUCCAUGAACUAAUUUGAAAGUAUCUGUUACCAGUUCAAUAUUAAACCACAGGUAUAUGUACUAAAGGCAGUAAUGUCCAGAUAAUCAAUGAUUAGACUAUUGGACUUUUAGAAUAAAUUUUACAUUGAACUAUGAAUGGUUUGUCAUCUACAUUUUUAAAAAAGACGAGAUGUUUUGCCUGUAAGAACAAGAGAGAGAGAGAAUAAGAAGGUAAGUUAAACACCUACUGUAAAAUGCACACUGCUCCAAUGUGGGUUGAUAGGCUUGGGGUAAUAAAGUUAAAUUAUAAAAGGAUCACUAUCAGGUGUUAAUGAUAAUGACUGGGAUAUAUAGCAUAUCAUAGUCUCUGAGAUAUAAGGAUAUAACACCAGCAACAGCUCUCCAGUGAUGCAGUAGAUAGCAUCAUUGCUCUUUGCAUCUACACGCCACAGCCAGUUGUGGCAAUUGAACUCAUCAUAUUAGUGUGAUGAGCAUGGAUGUAUUUCAGUGUCUAUGUGGUUGUGGGUGUACGCCCAUGUUAAAUAACAAGUAAUGGCCAAAAUAUUAAGUAGAUGUUGAUCAAUAAUCUUCUCUAUCUUCCAGUAAAAGUCCCAUUAAAAUGACCCUGCUGUUCCAGAGAUUAGCUCAAACAAACAGACAGAUGAACAUUUUAAAGAAGUAUGACUGUAUGUCAGUAUUGUAUAUAGGCACUUGAGAAAACACAGUUAUUUUGAAAUCACAGACAUAAACUUAAAUUUUAUUUAUAUGUAUUGGUGCUGUUCAUAAAUAUAGCAUCAGCUGAAACAAACUAGGCAUAGUUAAGUUACAUUUUAUACAGGGUGCUCGGGACUAUUUCUCAUAAAUUUAAGGUGUUGACAAGUCCACUUAUAGGAGCUACCUUAGCUACUAGUUUAUAUUGAGGAGAACUUUCCACCUAGAUGGGUUGUGACUGUAUUAGGGGUCUGGUGAUGAAGACGAAGGACAGUUAAGAGAACUCCUCAACGGUUCACAGUAGCUACCAUGUGUUGAUAAAUUAGUAUUGAUGAGAACUUUCCAACUAGAUGGGUUGUGACUGUAUGAGGGGUCUGGUAAUGAAGACUAAGGACGGUUAAGGGAACUUCUCGAUGGUUCACAGUAGUAAUUAGUUUGAUUCUAAGUCAGAGGCAAUCAAAUACAAUGUUUUAUCACGACUCAUAGCAACAUACCUUUGGCGCUAGAUCAAUAUCUAGGAUGAUUUCACUAAAAAUGGAAAAAUAAAAAAUUUUAAUUAAAGAAAUUCAACCAACUUCAAAAACAUAAAACAUACUGGCUAAACUAAAAAACGAAAAAUAAUAUUAUACUAAGUUCAUAUCAUAUUAUGUUCUAACUGAUGAUCAGUUUGAAGGCUGUGCUAAACCGGUGUUGUUUUAAUUUAAGCUGUUACUGAAAGAACUACAUGAAAGAACACUGUCUGAAAAACCUAAAUAUUUAUGAUAUUCUUACAUGGCUUGAAUUAAUACAUCAUUGGGCUAGCACCACCUUCAAACUGAUCAUCAGUUAGAACAUAAUAUGAUAUAUAGAACUUAGUAUAAUGUUAUUUUUCGUUUUUUAGUUUAGUAAGUAUGUUUUUGAAGUCGGUUGACUUGUUUUUAUUAAAGUUUUUUAAUACACAUGUUCCUUAGACAUUUUAAAUUAAUUUUCCUUUUAGAACUUGGAGCUACCCUAGAGUUAUGGGAAAUACUCCUGAGCACCCUGUAGAUGCUACUUAAUCCUACUAAUCCUUCAUUUAUCAGUAUCGGUUGCUGGGCUUGGAGUUUAUAAAGAAUAUUAAGUAUAUAUAAUUUAUUUAUGAACAUUCCUCAUUCAGUUGAGCUUUUACUAACUACUUAAUAUUAACUAACUUUCUGCAGUUUGAGAAUACGCGGAUAAAAUAUAGCCUAUGAUACUCAGAAAUAACGUGGCUUUCUAGUGGUAAAAGAAUUUUCAAAAUUGGUUCAGUAGAUCCAGAGUUUACCUGCUAGAACACCACCAACUUUACCUCUUUAUAAUACAUACUAGCGGACGCUCGCGACUUCGCGUAAAAAUCGAUGUCAACUUUCAACUCCUAUUUCACAUUCUAUUUUGCAAGUUUUAUAACUUAUACCUUGUAACUAAAAAAAUUAAGGACUUUCCGUACAAACUUUCUACCCCUACUUCACCCAAUUCUGAUUUUGUUUUCACGACAAAAAGUAUCCUAUUAUCCUUCUACGUAUUAUGGUCUCAAAUCGUCUUAAGUAUCAUUUGAAUUCAUUCUGUAGUAUCAGCGUGAUGCCCGGUCAAAAAAAAGGCAAACAGACAGACAAAAAAUAGAAAAUAUGAGCGUGGUGCGAUGACAAAGGAAAGUAGAAACUUCUAUGCUAAAAUUAUAAUCUUUGGAUCUACUGGACCGAUUUGAAAGAUUGUUUUAUCAAUAGAAAGCUACGUUAUUUGCGAGUGUCAUAGGCUAUGUUUGAUUCCCAUAUUCACACAGGAGCGGGAACUACGUAAUGGAAAGCGCGGGGCGUCAUGUAGCGGACUUUCUGCGUCUUUGAGAAAUUUUGUAUUAUCUCCAAAACUAAUUAACAUACUAUAAAGGGCAAAUCUUAUCUCCAUAAUAUCCUUGUGAUUAUUAAAUAAUUUAUUUUGAUAAGGAUUUAAGUUAAGUAGCAUAAAUAAUGACGCAAACCUAAGUAUAUAAAAUUUAUAAUUUUAAAAACACAAAAGGUACUAUAUCUGCUAAUAUAUAGAAGAUAGAUAUAUGGUGUCGCGGACUUUUUUUGUAGAACUUUUAAAGAUACAUAAAGCCUCCAUACAUUAAUUUCAAUUUUACACAAUGGUUAAGGCAGCGCAUGCGAAUAAGUCUGCUUAAGAGGAUUUUCGGUCCGACCUGUAUGACAAAAACUGUGUUAACUCGGCGAAUAUAUAUCAUGCUAAUAUAAAAUAUAGCCUAUAGCACUCCCCGAUAAUGUAGCAUUCUACUGGUGAAAGAAUUUUUUAAAUCGGACCAGUAGUUCCGAAAAUUACCCCAUUUAAAAAAUGUGACUAACUUACAAACUUUACCUCUUUAUAAUAUUAGUAUAGAUUAACAACCCAUUUACGGCUCAUUGUUGAGCACGAGUCACUUCUCAGGACGAGAGGGGUUAGGCCUUAGUCCUCCAUGCUGGCCCAAUGCGGAUUGGCAGACUUCACACACCUAGACAAUUAAGAAAAUUCUCAGUUAUGCAGGUUUCUUCACAAUGUUAUGCUUCACCAUUUAAGACAUUUAAUUUAAAAAUGGGUUGAAUACAUAUCAGUAUAGAUUUUUAUUGUGAGUUUCUUGAAAGAAGGAAAUGCUCAAUAUUUCAUAGACCAACCCAGGACUCAAACUCAGAAUUUCAUGAUAGUUACACUGAACCAAUAAAGCAGUUAGAGAGAGAGAGAUAAAUAAAAAGAGUUUAUUAUGUAUUCAAAUUAAAAUAUAUACCUAAUGCUUUCAGCAAUCCUGCUUCUUCACAUGAAUUUUACCCGCAUGACGACGGUUUUUAAUAUAAAAAAUAUUUACACAAUGUCUCAAAAAGCAAUCAAAGCUUUCAAAAAUAAACAAUGUUCGCAGAAGUUCAGUACCAACAAACUCACAAAAAAUGAGUUCAAAAUUUAGCAUUACUUGCAAGCCAGACUAAGAAAUUUCAAGAAGAUAAUUUAAAAGAAGACAAUAGAAUAAAAUAAUAUUAACACACAAUGCUUAGCAAAUAUAGCAUUAACAGAUGGAAACCAGGCAAUAGGUGUAGCAAAAUAGAAGAUGAAGGUCUAGCUGUGCCAGUCAGUGCUGAGCCACACAGUUGCUGCUGGAAUGUUUGCAAAAUAUCACAAGGUGUAGCAAAAUAGAAGAUGAAGGUCUAGCUGUGCCAGUCAGUGCUGAGCCACACAGUACAGUUGCUGCUGGCAUGUUUGCAAAAUAGCAGAAGGUGUAGCAAAAUAGAAGAUGAAGGUCUAGCUGUGCCAGUCAGUGCUGAGCCACACAGUUGCUGCUGGCAUGUUUGCAAAAUAGCACAAGGUGCUGUAAAAUGAAGAUAUAUUGUUAAAUAUCAUGAGAUAGAAAUAAAAGAUGAAGAUCUAGCUGUACCCGUCCCGAGCCACACUACUGCAGCCACGUUGCUGCUGGCAUUUUUGCAAAAUAGCACAAGGUCACAACAAUUGAUGUAACAAAUAUAAUCAAUGGACCAGGCACCUGCACCAUGAUUCUUUGGAAUACUAAAAUUCGUCUCUUUAUGUCUGUACUUCUCAUAAUGAAAAAUGUCACAUUUUUAUGAAAGAAAUAAUGGAAUCAAAUAAUAAAUAAAACAAGCAUAUGCUGGAAGUCCUCAGAAACAGCUCCGACUUUGAUGAUUUUUUUUUUAAGUCUAUUUAAAAAAAGAAAAUUUUAAUUAGUUUUUAUGUUAUUUAAAAUCAGAAAUGUUUUGGUGGACGAAAUUAUUUAAAUUGUUAAAAAAUAUCUAUGCUAUUUAUACAUAUUUUUUUUUAAAUACAACCGACUUCAAAAAUACAAACUUAUACAGAAAACUAAUAAACGAAAGAAAAUAUUAUAAUAUUUUCUAUCUAUUGAUCACUUUGAAGGCGGUGCCAAUGGUCCAAUUAAUGGGCCGACAAUUAGUUAUCUAAUGUUUUCCUAGCUAUAGGGUUCAAAUUGCUUUUUCAUAUCUUUAAAAGACUAUCUUCGGAAUGAACCCUUUAUAAUAAAAAAGUAUUAUCAAAAUCGGACCACUCAAUAAAAAGUUAUACUUGGUUGUAUACUAAAAUUAAUGGUUAAACAAUCAAUCAUCCCCUGUUUUUGUAAUGUAAAACCAAGCAUAACUGUUAACAUGAGUAGUCCGAUUUUGAUAAUUCUUUUGAUUGAUCAUUCUUGAUUGUUUUAGUUUAAAACCAAGCAUGUCUUGGAAUUCCGAUUUGAAUAACUUUGUUUUAAAUAGAAAGGGUAUAUUCCGACAAUGGUCCCAAAUCAUUAUAAAUUUUAAUUAUUCCCAUUAAUUGUAUUGUAAAAAUAUGCGUAACUUAUUACGAAGUGGUCCGAUUUCGUAAAUUCUUUAUAGAUUGUAAAGGUAUUUUGAUUGUAAAGCUCCCA